CAUCCGCGUGUGUGAGAAGGCCUGAGGGUUGAAAGCACUUUCAGUGGGGAGGAGGAUAGCAUGGUUAAGAGCUGAGCUAUUGGACGUUACCUACAGAAGAAGCACCGGCUAACUCCGUGCCAGCAGCCGCGGUAAUACGGAGGGUGCGAGCGUUAAUCGGAAUUACUGGGCGUAAAGGGUGCGUAGGUGGUUAAAUAAGUUAGAUGUAAAAACCCUGGGCUUAACCUAGGACUGAGAUUUAAUACUGUUUAACUAGAGUAUGGGAGAGGGUAGUGGAAUUUCCGGUGUAGCGGUGAAAUGCGUAGAGAUCGGAAGGAACACCAGUGGCGAAGGCGGCUACCUGGCCUAAUACUGACACUGAGGCACGAAAGCGUGGGGAGCAAACAGGAUUAGAUACCCUGGUAGUCCACGCUGUAAACGAUGUCAACUAGCCGUUGG
rnacentral:rRNA from 1 species